GUGCUCGCCUCGGCAGCACAUACACUAAAAUUGGAAUGAUAUAGAGAAGAUUAGCAUGGCCCCUGUGCAAGGAUGACACGCAAAUUCAUAAAGCAUUCCACAUUUUU
rnacentral:snRNA from 1 species